GAAGGGGGGGAUCUUAGGACCUCUCGCUACAGGGGCGGCCGAUGGCAGAUUAGCUAGUUGGUGGGGUAAAGGCCUACCAAGGCGACGAUCUGUAGCUGGUCUGAGAGGACGACCAGCCACACUGGGACUGAGACACGGCCCAGACUCCUACGGGAGGCAGCAGUGGGGAAUUUUGGACAAUGGGGGCAACCCUGAUCCAGCAAUGCCGCGUGUGUGAAGAAGGCCUUCGGGUUGUAAAGCACUUUUGUCCGGAAAGAAAACGCUCUGGUUAAUACCCGGGGCGGAUGACGGUACCGGAAGAAUAAGCACCGGCUAACUACGUGCCAGCAGCCGCGGUAAUACGUAGGGUGCAAGCGUUAAUCGGAAUUACUGGGCGUAAAGCGUGCGCAGGCGGUCCGCUAAGACAGAUGUGAAAUCCCCGGGCUUAACCUGGGAACUGCAUUUGUGACUGGCGGG
rnacentral:rRNA from 1 species